GUUGUUCGUUGUUUCCAACUUGCAAGUUCAAAUGUUACUAUGGUAACAGUGAUGGCUACAAUUGGAAUUCAAGCAAAGAAAUCUGAAGCAAGUCCUAUUCCAAAUAUGGAGUGGCAGGGGCAAUGAUGGAAGAAUCCAAAGACAUCCAAGCAGAUCUCAUGAGCUGGAGUCAUGCAGAGUGGGAAUGGAACAGCACCUGUGUGAUCAUGAUUGUCUAGGAAAAUUGUUUGUAAGUUUUUCUUCCAGGUGACAUGCAGCCAAGUCAGUGU
rnacentral:lncRNA from 10 species